ACUUAAACAGGGAAUGAAGUUCUCCCUUGGAAUCUGGAAGCAGAAACCUAGACUGCUUAUUAUAGCUGAUGACUUCUACGAUUAU
rnacentral:ncRNA from 2 species